rnacentral:rRNA from 1 species
UACGUAGGGAGCGAGCGUUGUCCGAAGUUACUGGGCGUAAAGCGCGCGUAGGCGGGCUGUUAAGUGAGAGGUGAAAGGCUGGGGCUUAACCCCAUGCAGUGCCUCUCAUACUGGCGGUCUUGAGUGCGGCAGGGAGAAGUGGAAUGGCUGGUGUAGCGGUGAAAUGCGUAGAUAUCAGGAGGAACACCAACGGCGAAGGCAGCUCGCUGGGACGGUACUGACGCUAAGGCGCGAAAGCGUGGGAGCGAACAGG